rnacentral:tRNA from 1 species
GGCCUCGUAGCUCAGUUGGCUAGAGCUUUGGCUGUACUAAAGCCUUCCCCUUGCUGGCGUGGGUUCAAAUCCCACCGAAGCCA